rnacentral:snoRNA from 1 species
ACCUGCUGAUCAUGUUGACUUCAGCAACCCGGGCUUCGCUGACUAGCCUCCCCGAGAACACCAUCGACAACUGGACCGAGUUAAAGGCUCAGUU